AUGAUUCUUUGUGUGGGCAUGUGCUUGCUCUUCUCUUAGGUAAAUUCAUUGAAAUGGAAUGGCUGGAUUAAAUGGUAGGUAUAUGUUUAACUUAAAAAAAAACUGACACAGUGGUUGCACCAUAUUACAUUUCCACUGGCAGGCUUCAGUGGGUUUUAAGAAUAAGAUCCGAGGCAAUUGUUAGGCAUUGGAAAAAGGGCCUUUCCUGGUGUAAUGAAGGCUCUUGAGAUGAGAUCCUCCUAGAUUUAGAGUGGCCCUUAACCCAAUGACUGAUGUGCUUGUAAGAGAAAGGCAGAGGGAGACAGCGAUAGACAGAGGAGAAAACAGGCAGAGACUGGAGGCAAACUGCCAAUCAAGGAAUGUCUGAAGCUCGCAUAAGCUGGAAGAGACCCUGAAGGAUUCUCCCCAGAGCCUUCCGCGGGAACGGGGUCCUGCCGGCACCUUGAUUUUACACCGCUGGCCUCUGAAACUGACACUCUGCUCAAGGAGCCCAGUGUCUGACAGCAAGGACUCAAACAGAGCUCCAAGCGGCCCAAACUCCAAGCGUUCUGUGCCAUGGCCCUGGGGAAGCAACCACACCAUAUACCUCCAAACUCAUUUCCUGCAAGAGGAUCCCGGUAAACAAGGUGCUCUGUUCCAUCCAUUGGUGGUAACACUCAUACUGAUCCUUUCUAGCUACAACUCGUGAUUGCAUUUGGUAGCAGAAGCACUGCUCUGGGUCAGAACGGCAGGAUGCUUUGGUGCUAGCAGAAGAAAACUGAGAUGGAUUCUUAAUAUGGUCCCUAAAUCAGAUGACCUGUGUCCUUGUAACAACAGAAGGUCAGAGGGAGGUGUGAGACAGUCCUAAGAGAAGACACCAAGAGGAGACAGCGAUGUGAAGACAGAGGCAGUGGUGGGGUUGAUGCAGCUACAAGCCAAGGAGUGCCAUGGAUUGUCAGCAGCCCCGUGAAAGUAGGAGAAAGCAUGGAAUGGAAUCUCAGAAGGAAGUGUGGCCCUGCUAACACCAUGAUUUCAGACUUCUGCCUCCAUAACUGUGAGAUAAUAAAUCUGUUGUUUUAAAUAAUCCAUUUUGGAGCAAUUUGUUACAGUAAUCCUAUUAAAACUAAUAGGAUUCUGAAAUGCUAUGUUCUCACGAAUGUUCAAUGUGAAAGAUAAUGGACACCCAAACCUCAGUCCAAAUCUUGGAGGAAGUCUGCAUGGGAGCCCUACCCAGCUUCUCUGGGCUUGAUACUCUCUCAGAGUACUUCCCCAGGGGUCCGCAGGCUCCUGACUCCUCCAGCAGAACUUCAACGCUUUCACGGUCCUGUAUAACCUUCCCCAGGUACUUGCUCAACAGAGCCCCAUAGCCCAGCUCUUAAGGAUGUUUAGCACUUUCUCGCCUAUCCAUGUUCAAGGGUUCUAGGGCUCAGGAAAAU